rnacentral:rRNA from 1 species
UACGAACCGCACGAACGUUAUUCGGAAUCACUGGGCUUAAAGCGUACGUAGGCGGCUACAUAAGUUGGGUGUGAAAUCCCUCGGCCCAACCGAGGAAUUGCGCUCAAUACUGUGUGGAUUGAGGGAGAUAGAGGUGGGCGGAACUGAUGGUGGAGCGGUGAAAUGCGCUGAGAUCAUCAGGAACACCGGAGGCGAAGGCGGCCCACUGGGUCUUUGCUGACGCUGAGGUACGAAAGAUAGGGGAGCAAACGGG